rnacentral:lncRNA from 1 species
GUGUCGAUGAGAAAUCCUUGGGCUUUUCUUUGAUUUUUCAUGGAGGAUUUUUGGAAUUUUCUCCCUUUAACCUUUGUUUUGGUUCUAAGGGGGUUGUCAUUCUUGGGAUUUAGGCCGACAAGUUGUCGAUCAAUGUAAAAUAUAGUCAUCCCUUAUUUCCCCUCUUUUCUUUUCUUCCUUCAAGUCGAUUGUCGCACUGGGCUUGUUGUACUGUCAG